rnacentral:lncRNA from 1 species
GGCUCAGGAGCGUGGGGAGCUGCUACAGCUGCAAGAUGACGCGCAGUACGCUUUAGAUGGGUUAGCUAGUGCUGAGAAAGCUGCAGCAGCGGCAGCAGCAACCAGUGGUGGUGGCAGCGGCGGCGGCUUGGGCGCGUGUAUUGGGGCGGUGCGCGAGUCGGCUGCUACGUUGGCGGUAAUAUUAGCUACGCGACGUGGCCGGACGGCACUCAGGUGUGGGCCCUCUGCGCCGCAGCAGGAGGGGAAAGGGGGGGAGAAGGGGGGGAGGAGGGGGAGGGGAAAGGGUAGAGAGAGGGGAAGGAGGAGAGAGGGGAAGGAGGAGAGAGAGGCGAGGGAGGAAAGAGGGGAAGGAGGAGGGAGAGGCGGGGGAGGAGGGAGAGGAGAGUGACGUCCUGUCAGGGUCUCUCCAGGGCAUCAUUCAGCCCCAACCCCAUCCGCAUGAAUCCACGUCGGCAGUUGUUUCAGUUGUUUUUUUAGCUUUUGUUGCAUGACAUCUCCCCCUCGCUCUGCCCCGCCAUGUUUUCCCUCCUUCCCCAGCCAGCCCGUCAACCUGGCGAUGCAGGCGCUGACGUCACUUGCGCGUCUGUCUGUCGUACCGCAAGACCCAGCUGCAGCGCUGGCAGCGGCCAUCAUCCUGCUGUCGCUCGUCCAAGAGGACGCACUGCCCGCGUACGGCGCAUCGUACGCUGCGGCCGUACUGAUACGGCACAUUUUGCGCCAGGUAAGGGGGAACAAAUGAACAGCUGGGUGAAUUAGCAUGUUUGCUAUACUGUACAAGACUGCAUUUGUUUUUUGCCGUGCACGUGUCUGUGUUAAUGUUCAUAAAACCCUAAAGCGCCAUGGCAACACAACGUUAUGACUUGUGCUACUGCUGAAACGGGCAGGCAUUACAAGAUCCGCCGCCAGUGCUACAGCCCCGUAUGCAAGAUGCCGCUGCCGCUGCCGGGCUCACUCCCCCGCUGGCGGCGCCGCUGCCGCUGUGCACCGUCGGCGGCGACGGCGGUACCGCAGCGUCCUCCGCCUGGUCCCUGCUCCGAGACGC